rnacentral:rRNA from 1 species
AUUGAACGCUGGCGGCAUGCCUUACACAUGCAAGUCGAACGGUAACAGGUCUUCGGAUGCUGACGAGUGGCGAACGGGUGAGUAAUACACCGGAACGUGCCUAGUAGUGGGGGAUAACUACUCGAAAGAGUGGCUAAUACCGCAUGAGAUCUACGGAUGAAAGCAGGGGAUCGCAGGACCUUGUGCUACUAGAGCGGCCGAUGGCAGAUUAGGUAGUUGGUGGGAGAAAAGCUUACCAAGCCGACGAUCUGUAGCUGGUCUGAGAGGACGAUCAGGCACAAUGGGACUGAGACACGGCCCAGACGCCGACGGGAGGCAGCAGUGGGGAAUUUUGGACAAUGGGCGCAAGCCUGAUCCAGCAAUGCCGCGUGCAGGAUGAAGGCCUUCAGGUUGUAAACUGCUUUUGUACGGAACGAAAAGCCCCGGGUUAAUACCCUGGGGUCAUGACGGUACCGUAAGAAUAAGCACCGGCUAACUACGUGCCAGCCGCCGCGGUAA